AACGAACGCUGGCGGCAUGCCUAACACAUGCAAGUCGAACGAGACCUUCGGGUCUAGUGGCGCACGGGUGCGUAACGCGUGGGAACCUGCCCUUAGGUUCGGAAUAACUCCCCGAAAGGGGUGCUAAUACCGGAUAAUGUCUUCGGACCAAAGAUUUAUCGCCUUUGGAUGGGCCCGCGUUGGAUUAGCUAGUUGGUAGGGUAAAAGCCUACCAAGGCGACGAUCCAUAGCUGGUCUGAGAGGAUGAUCAGCCACACUGGGACUGAGACACGGCCCAGACUCCUACGGGAGGCAGCAGUGGGGAAUAUUGGACAAUGGGCGAGAGACUGAGCCAGCAAUGCCGCGUGAGUGAUGAAGGCCUUAGGAUUGUAAAGCUCUUUUACCCGGGAUGAUAAUGACAGUACCGGGAGAAUAGGCUCCGGCUAACUCCGU
rnacentral:rRNA from 1 species